rnacentral:tRNA from 1 species
GCACGCGUAGCUCAAUGGAUAGAGCACUUGGCUUCGGACCAAGGGGUUGUGGGUUCGAGUCCUACCGCGUGCG